UCAUUAGAUACCCGGGUAGUCCACGCCGUAAACGAUGAUCACUAGGUGUGGGUAGAGAACCUAUCCGUGCCGGAGUUAACACAAUAAGUGAUCCACCUGGGGAGUACGGCCGCAAGGUGAGCUAACUGUAAGGAGGCAGCAGUCGAAGGUAGAAUCAAUGACUGGGGUGAAGUCGUAACAAGGUAAC
rnacentral:rRNA from 1 species